rnacentral:tRNA from 1 species
GAGGGUAUAGCUCAGUGGUAGAGUGCCUGCUUAGUAUGCACAAGGUCCUAGGUUCAAUCCCCAGUACCUCCA